UACGUAGGGUGCAAGCGUUGUCCGGAAUUAUUGGGCGUAAAGAGCUCGUAGGCGGUUCGUCACGUCGGCUGUGAAAUCCCGAGGCUCAACCUCGGGUCUGCAGUCGAUACGGGCGGACUUGAGUACUGCAGGGGAGACUGGAAAUUCCUGGUGUAGCGGUGAAAUGCGCAGAUAUCAGGAGGAACACCGGUGGCGAAGGCGGGUCUCUGGGCAAGCUGAACGCUGAGGAGCGAAAGCUGGGGAGCGAACAGG
rnacentral:rRNA from 1 species